rnacentral:snRNA from 1 species
AACUCUGCUCCACAAAGUGAGUAGAAACCUGAGAGUUCACGGUAAUUAGAAUAUGUUCUUAUCAGUUUAAUCACUGAUACAUCCUGAAUGUGAGGACUGAGGGACUGGAUUUUUGGUGCCAGGAGAUGCCUGGGAGCUUGCUCCAGCAGCUCCAUGCACAGGCUUGGUAUCAGUACCCAAACCUGUUAGCCUCU